rnacentral:hammerhead_ribozyme from 1 species
AUAGCUGAUGAGUCCCAAACAGGACGAAAUGCGCAUCCUUUAU